UGGGGAAUUGUUCGCAAUGGGCGCAAGCCUGAUGCAGCGACGCCGCGUGGGGGAUGAAGGCCCUAGGGUCGUAAACCCCUUUCAGCAGGGACGAAGAUGACGGUACCUGCAGAAGAAGCCCCGGCCAACUACGUGCCAGCAGCCGCGGUAAGACGUAGGGGGCGAGCGUUGUCCGGAUUUAUUGGGCGUAAAGAGCUCGUAGGCGGUUGCGUAAGUCGGAUGUGAAAACUCAGGGCUCAACCCUGAGACGCCAUCCGAUACUGCGCUGACUUGAAUCCAGUAGGGGAGUGCGGAAUUCCUGGUGUAGCGGUGAAAUGCGCAGAUAUCAGGAGGAACACCCAUGGCGAAGGCAGCACUCUGGGCUGGUAUUGACGCUGAGGAGCGAAAGCAUGGGUAGCGAACAGGAUUAGAUACCCCCGUAGUCCCUGAGCGGGCUGGCAAGGCGCAU
rnacentral:rRNA from 1 species